rnacentral:rRNA from 1 species
GGUAGUCCACGCCUAAACGAUGCGAACUGGAUGUUGGGUGCAAUUUGGCACACAGUAUCGAAGCUAACGCGUUAAGUUCGCCGCCUGGGGAGUACGGUCGCAAGACUGAAACUCAAAGGAAUUGACGGGGGCCCGCACAAGCGGUGGAGUAUGUGGUUUAAUUCGAUGCAACGCGAAGAACCUUACCUGGCCUUGACAUGUCGAGAACUUUCCAGAGAUGGAUUGGUGCCUUCGGGAACUCGAACACAGGUGCUGCAUGGCUGUCGUCAGCUCGUGUCGUGAGAUGUUGGGUUAAGUCCCGCAACGAGCGCAACCCUUGUCCUUAGUUGCCAGCACGUAAUGGUGGGAACUCUAAGGAGACCGCCGGUGACAAACCGGAGGAAGGUGGGGAUAACGUCAAGUCAUCAUGGCCCUUACGGCCAGGGCUACACACGUACUACAAUGG